CAGCCGCCGCGGUAAUACGAAGGGGGCUAGCGUUGCUCGGAAUUACUGGGCGUAAAGGGAGCGUAGGCGGACAUUUAAGUCAGGGGUGAAAUCCCAGAGCUCAACUCUGGAACUGCCUUUGAUACUGGGUGUCUUGAGUGUGAUAGAGGUAUGUGGAACUCCGAGUGUAGAGGUGAAAUUCGUAGAUAUUCAGAAGAACACCAGUGGCGAAGGCGACAUACUGGAUCAUUACUGACGCUGAGGCUCGAAAGCGUGGGGAGCAAACAGGAUUAGAUACCCCCGUAGUCCCUGUCUCUUAUAC
rnacentral:rRNA from 1 species